rnacentral:rRNA from 1 species
GACGAACGCUGGCGGCGUGCUUAACACAUGCAAGUCGAACGCUGAAGCUCAGCUUUUGUUGGGUGGAUGAGUGGCGAACGGGUGAGUAACACGUGAGUAACCCGCCCUCUUCUUUGGGAUAACGCCCGGAAACGGGUGCCAAUACUGGAUAUUCACUGGUCUUCGCAUGGGGGUAGGUGGAAAGGGUGUUUCGGGUGGGGGAUGGGCUCGCGGCCUAUCGGCUUGUUGGUGGGGUGAUGGCCUACCAAGGCUUUGACGGGUAGCCGGCCUGAGCGGGUGACCGGUCACAUUGGGACUGAGGUACGGCCCAGGCUCCUACGGGAGGCAGCAGUGGGGAAUAUUGCACAAUGGGCGCAGGCCUGAUGCAGCGACGCCGCGUGAGGGAUGGAGACCUUCGGGUUGUGAACCUCUUUCGCUCAUGAUCAAGCCGCAACAAUGGUUGUGGUGAGGGUAGUGGGUAAAGAAGCGCCGGCUAACUACGUG